UCAACAAGUUUAGCAGGUGCUAUUGGUGGAUCUUUUACGGAUACAUGUAUCCAUUCUCCAAAGUGACCUGCAUUUUUAUUUUUAAUUUUUUGCUUAAUCGUGCAGGUAAUAACUAAUAUAUGAUAUAUUGUGAUCCAUUCCCUCCUCUACAUGCCAAGACUGGUGGAAUUGUUAUGUCAAUUUAUUGGUAUGGUUUUUAUUGUGCACCCAAUUAACUACCACAAAUGCAGCAAAAAAUUGAUAUAUUAUUGGUAUUCGUCGUGUUUAGGAAGAUGCACUACUUUUUAAAAACAAAAGCAACAACAAUACAAUACAAUAUAUUUUUUGUUGUUAAUCCUUUUUCUAAUACAUAUAGAUUCUAGUUUAUUUUCAUAUCUAAAUAUGUGUGUUUUAUGUCUUUAAUUAUUAUCUCAUACUUUAUUAGAAUAAAUUGAAUAAUCUACCAUAUAUUCUUGUUAUGUAUCAUACUUCGUCUUCUCCGUCCUCUCUCCCAAAAUUUGUCAUCUUUUUACUUUGACUGUUAUUUUGUUUCAUCGUGUUCAGUUUGAUAUAUAUAUAUGGAUCCUGAUACAAAUCGAAAAAUAUAAGAUUCUGAUGACGAAGAUUGCGCAGAAAAUAUAUUUUUUUCAGAUGCAUGACUAAGACGAAACUUGUAUGCAGAUGGACAGGGUGUUAUCUUCAAUUACAGAUACUUUAAAGGAUUUAGCACAUUAUAAUUGGAAAACGAUUGUAUUUGUUGUUGAGGUUGAAGAUCUGAUCCAUGAAUGCAGAGAUAUAUUAUAGAUAAUGGUGUUUAUAGUUCAUUAUAUAUCUCAAACAUAUUUUAUUGAAUAUAAUUAAAUGUGUGUGUGUGUGU
rnacentral:lncRNA from 1 species